rfam:Tauraco erythrolophus contig117462, whole genome shotgun sequence.
CCAAAGGCUCUUUUAAGAGCCACCAAUUCUUUCUUUUAAAAAUUUU